rnacentral:rRNA from 1 species
UACAGAGGUGGCAAGCGUUGUUCGGAAUUACUGGGCGUAAAGGGCGCGUAGGCGGUCAUCUAAGUCAGACGUGAAAUCCCCCGGCUUAACCUGGGAACUGCGUCUGAUACUGGAAGGCUUGAGUAUGGGAGAGGGAUGUAGAAUUCCAGGUGUAGCGGUGAAAUGCGUAGAUAUCUGGAGGAAUACCGGUGGCGAAGGCGGCAUCCUGGACCAUUACUGACGCUGAGGCGCGAAAGCUAGGGGAGCAAACGGG